rnacentral:rRNA from 1 species
GGCGAACGCUGGCGGCGUGCUUAACACAUGCAAGUCGAACGGAAAGGCCCUGCUUUUGUGGGGUGCUCGAGUGGCGAACGGGUGAGUAACACGUGAGUAACCUGCCCUUGACUUUGGGAUAACUUCAGGAAACUGGGGCUAAUACCGGAUAGGAGCUCCUGCUGCAUGGUGGGGGUUGGAAAGUUUCGGCGGUUGGGGAUGGACUCGCGGCUUAUCAGCUUGUUGGUGGGGUAGUGGCUUACCAAGGCUUUGACGGGUGGCCGGCCUGAGAGGGUGACCGGCCACAUUGGGACUGAGAUACGGCCCAGACUCCUACGGGAGGCAGCAGUGGGGAAUAUUGCACAAUGGGCGGAAGCCUGAUGCAGCAACGCCGCGUGCGGGAUGACGGCCUUCGGGUUGUAAACCGCUUUCGCCUGUGACGAAGCGUGAGUGACGGUAAUGGGUAAAGAAGCACCGGCUAACUACGUG